AGAAGAGCGGGAAGAGGCGGACAGCGAGGCCAAGAUUUCAGCUGCGGGACGGUCAGGGGAGACCUCCAGGCGCAGGGAAGGACGUGAGGAGGGGAAGCGGGCUGGGGCGGCAGCCGGGCGGAGGGGCAGCUGCGCAGGCGGAAUGAGGAACGCCUUUGCUCUAAGGCGACCACCCUGGCAGCUCUUCACUGAGGGGCCUCGGUUUCCACAUCUGUCGCUCUCCGGUCCCAAGACCACCAGGACCGACGGGGCUCUCCGGGAGGGUCAGCCCCUCCGGUGGCCCCAGUCAUGCAUCAGGGGACGGAUCAGAAGGGCUAGGAAGAGGGGUCGUGGGGAAGGCCCCAGAAAAAAGAGGAAGGAGGGAAGAUUUUGCCUGAAGCGGGAAAGCCAAGGGCUGGGCGGCGCGAGACCCCCAUUCCUAGCGACUGGGGCUGGCUGGUGGCCCGCGGCAGCCCCCGCGCCGGGAGGAUUAGGCCUCCCGCCGCUCCCACCCGUCCGGACCCUCCCACGUGUUUAGGUCCUCCCAAAAGUAUUCGGCCUCCGGCCCCUGCCCCUUCCCCCGGCUGGCCUGGACCUCGGGGACGUGGGGGGAACCCCGUGGGAGCAGGGGGAUUCUGGACGGGGAGGGAGUAGCGGUUGGGGAGAAGGCUGAGCGGGGAAAGGAGAGAGGGGCUCCGGGGACGGCAGGGAGGAGAGUGGGUCGUGCCGGAGACCCAGGGAGAGACACAAUGGGCAAGAUUAGGGGUGUAGGGUGGGAGUGCGAACUGACUGAUUCCUAGCGUGGGCAGGGAACUUUGCUAAAACUGCAGGCCCCAGGGAACAGCGCGGGCAGGGUGGGAGGGAACGGAGAGGGCCAGGCGGACCCUAAGGUCAAUUUGGAGAAAGGGCCAUUUCCAGGCUCCUUCACCUGUGCCCAGCGUUCUACAGGCCUGGACCCCGCCCCCGCUCCCCACCCUCCCCCCAGAGCAGGGCGCGGGAGGAGGCGGCUCGGGCUGGCUCGGAGAGCUGAGGGGCGCACACCCGCUUCGCAGGGCCAGGGUGACACGGAAGCAUGCGACGGCUGCUGAUCCCUCUGGCCCUGUGGCUGGGUGCGGUGGGCGUGGGCGUCGCCGAGCUCACGGAAGCCCAGCGCCGGGGCCUGCAGGUGGCCCUGGAGGAAUUUCACAAGCACCCGCCCGUGCAGUGGGCCUUCCAGGAGACCAGUGUGGAGAGCGCCGUGGACACGGUGAGUAGCAUGGCCCGGGCAGGAGCGGGGAGGGUCGUACCCCAGGAGACCAGCGCAUUCCCACGAAGGGGGACAGAAGUGCUUGGGCUCUGAGCCCCAGCCCUUUGGAGAAAAGGCCACUGUCCAGCCUGCUGGAAUGUGACUGCGUGAGGGAGGUGCGGAUCACACCAGGGCUUGCUCUGCACCCUCAGCUGGCUACCGGCCAUCCUCUGCCUGCCUGUCUGUCCGCAGCCCUUCCCAGCUGGAAUAUUUGUGAGGCUGGAAUUUAAGCUGCAGCAGACAAGCUGCCGGAAGAGGGACUGGAAGAAACCCGAGUGCAAAGUCAGGCCCAAUGGGAGGAAACGGAAAUGCCUGGCCUGCAUCAAACUGGGCUCUGAGGACAAAGUUCUGGGCCGGUUGGUCCACUGCCCCAUAGAGACCCAAGUUCUGCGGGAGGCUGAGGAGCACCAGGAGACCCAGUGCCUCAGGGUGCAGCGGGCUGGUGAGGACCCCCACAGCUUCUACUUCCCUGGACAGUUCGCCUUCUCCAAGGCCCUGCCCCGCAGCUAAGCCAGCACUGAGAUGCGUGGUGCCUCCAGGACCGCUGCGGGUGGUAACCAGUGGAAGACCCCAGCCCCCAGGGAGAGGAACCCGUUCUAUCCCCAGCCAUGAUAAUAAAGCUGCUCUCCCAGCUGCCUCUC
rnacentral:lncRNA from 1 species